UUUUGGUAAAAUAUAAAAAUUUAUACUAGAUUUAAGAUUUUAUACAAAAAACGGAAAUAAAAUAAAGAGAAACACAAAAGCAAAACCAUGCAGCAAACAAUAGUACUGUAGAAGGCCGUAAAGGAUGAAAUUAACGAAAUGAGCUAGAAAGCUCUGACGGAAGAAAACACUAGAAAACCGUUGAUGUUGCCACGAGUUAACCGCGAUCCGAACUUACCCUUUCAAAUAUCAUUAGAAUCGAGUUAGAGAAGGUAAAAGAUGACAAAAAGAGAGUUUGAAAUCAAUUAUUGGACUGUUUAAAUAGAGAAACAAAAUAAAACAUUUCACCCAAACUAAUAUUAAUUGAAUGAGUCUCUCGAUCUUAAAAUUGAAUUACACUGUUAACUUUUUUUUGUUUUGGUAAAAUGUAAAAAUUUAUAAUAGAUUUUUGACUUUUUACAAACGCGGAACUAAAAAAGAGAAACAUAAAUCUAAAAACUAUGCAGCCCUGCAAAAGGCCACAAAAUAUGAAAUGAACGAAAAUAGCUAGAACGUUAUGACAGAAGAAGAGAAGCAAAAACCGUUGAUGUUUUCACGAGUGAACCGCGAUCCGAAGUUAGCCUUUAAAAUAUCAUUAAGAUCGAGUUAGAGAAGGUAAUAGAUGACAAAAAGAGAGUUUGAAAUCUUUUAUUGGACUGUUUAAAAUAAAGAAACAGAGCAAAACAUUUCACGAAACUGAUAUUACCUGAAUGAAUAUCUCGAUCUUAAAAUUGAAUUACAAUCUUAACUUUUUUUUAUUUUGGUAAAAUGUAGAAAAAUUAUAUCAUAGAUGUUUUACAAAACCGGAAAUAAAACAUACAAAAACAUUAUAAAAAAAAACCAGGAAGCAAACAACAGUACUGCAAAAGGCCAGAAAAGAUAAAAUUAACGAAAAUUGCUCGAAAUUCCUGAUGGAAGAUGACACGAGAAAACCUUUGAUGUUGCCACGAGUGAACCGCGAUCAUAACCCAACCCUUAACAUAUCAUUAAGAUCGAGCUAGAGAAGAUAAAAGAUGACAAAAAAAAAAAGAGUUUGAAAUCAAUUUUUGGAAUGUUUAAAAUAGAUAAACAAAACAAAAAAAGUUCAGCUAAACUGAUAUUAAUCGAAUGGAUCUCUCGAUCUUAAAAUUGAAUUACACUCUUAACUUUUUUUUUGUUUUUGGUAAAAUAUAAAAAUUUAUACAAGAUUUUUGAUUUUUUACAAACACGAAAACAAAACGAAGAGAAAUAUAAAACUAAAAAAAAACUAAGCAGCAAAAACCAAUAUUCGAGAAGACCAUGAAAGAUAAAAUUAACCAAAGGAGCAAGAACGUUCUGGCGGAAGAAGACACGAGAAAACCGUCGAUGUUGCCACGAGUAAAUUGCUAUCCUAUCGUAGCUUUUAACAUAUCAUUAGGAUUGAGUUAGAGAAGGUAAAAGAUGACAAAAAGAGAGUUUGAAAUCAAUGUUUGGACUGUUUAAAAUCGAUAAACAAAAAAGAAAAGUUCACCCAAACUAACAUUAAUUGAAUUGAUCUCUCGAUCUUAAAAUUGAAUAACACUUUUAACUUUUUUGUUUUGGUAAAAUAUAAAUAUUUAUACUAGAUUUAAUAUUUUAUACAAAAACAGAAAUAAAAUAAAGAGAAACAUAAAACGAAAACCUAUGCAGCAAACAACAGUACUGUAGAAGGCUGUAAAAGAUGAAAUUAACGAAAGGAGCUAGAAAGCUUUGCCGGAAGAAAACACUAGAAAACCGUUGAUGUUGCCACGAGUGAACCGCGAUCCGAACCUACCCUUUCAAAUAUCAUUAGGAUCCAGUUAGAGAAGGUAAAAGAUGACAAAAGAGAGUUUGAAA
rnacentral:lncRNA from 1 species